GGGGAUAACGUCAAGUCCUCAUGGCCCUUAGAAGGUGGGCUACACACGUGCUACAAUGGCGACUACAGAGGGCUCGAACCCGCGAGGGGGAGCCAAUCCCUAAAAGUGCUCUCAGUUCGGAUUGCUCUCUGCACUCGAGAGCAUGAAGUUGGAAUCGCUAGUAAUCGCGGAUCAGCAUGCCGCGGUGAAUACGUUCCCGGGCCUUGUACACACCGCCCGUCACACCAUGGGAGUUGGACUUUACCCGAGCGCUAGCUCCUAACCUGCUAAGGGGGCUAGGCUGAUUCUGGUAGGGCCGACUGACUGGGGUUGAAGCGUAACAAGGUAACCGAGGGGAACCGCGGUUGGACACCUCUUC
rnacentral:rRNA from 1 species